AUGCAAUGAUAAGGACACUUCCUUAAUAAUUCCUUGUAUCUUUCCCAUGCUUCAUAUAAUGGUUCUCUAUCUUGCUGAACAAAAGAUGUGAUUUCCCUUCUUAUUUU